GAUGAACGCUGGCGGCGUGCCUAAUACAUGCAAGUCGAGCGAACAGACGAGGAGCUUGCUCCUCUGACGUUAGCGGCGGACGGGUGAGUAACACGUGGAUAACCUACCUAUAAGACUGGGAUAACUUCGGGAAACCGGAGCUAAUACCGGAUAAUAUAUUGAACCGCAUGGUUCAAUAGUGAAAGACGGUUUUGCUGUCACUUAUAGAUGGAUCCGCGCCGCAUUAGCUAGUUGGUAAGGUAACGGCUUACCAAGGCAACGAUGCGUAGCCGACCUGAGAGGUGGUCCGCCACACUUGAACUGAAGCACCGUCCCAACCCCCUCCGGAGGCAAGCAGUGGGAAACCUCCCGCAUUGGCCGAAAGCUUGCCGGACAACGCCGGCGGAGUUGUGGAGGUCCUCCGGUCGGUAAACCCUGUUUUUUAGGAAGAACAAAUGUGUAAGUAACUAUGCACGUCUUGACGGUACCUAAUCAGAAAGCCACGGCUAACUACGUG
rnacentral:rRNA from 1 species